GACGUAGGAGGCGAGCGUUAUCCGGAUUCACUGGGCGUAAAGAGCGUGUAGGCGGCCAAACAGGUCCGUUGUGAAAACUGGAGGCUCAACCUCCAGACGUCGACGGAAACCGUAUGGCUAGAGUCCGGAAGAGGAGAGUGGAAUUCCUGGUGUAGCGGUGAAAUGCGCAGAUAUCAGGAAGAACACCAAUGGCGAAGGCAGCUCUCUGGGACGGUACUGACGCUGAGACGCGAAAGCGUGGGGAGCGAACAGG
rnacentral:rRNA from 1 species